GCGUCUGAAUGGGACCCGGGAGGGGAGGCGGCUCGGUCCUUCGUGCCGUCCUCCCCGCUGGGAGGGGCAGCUCCAGCUCCGCUCGGCUCGCUCCGCCCGGCCACACCGGCUUUUUCCCCAUCAGGCGGUCCGAGUGCGGCUCCUCGCGAGCCUGCAAAGGAGCAGCAGGCGGUUCCUUUUCGGACGACCUGGAGCGAGGCCUGCGGGACUGCGCGCCCCGGCGGGCGGCGUGCGGCUCCCGGCAUGCGCGGCGGCUGCGUUCCCGCCGCCUCCGAGCUCGCCUGGGGCUGCCGCCCGCCUCCUGCCGGGCCCUCGGGCUCGCCCGGCACCGCGGGGCUUGAUCAGGGAGGUAGGCGGUGCUCCCUCCGGCCCCCGGCGUCGUGUGCCCUGCGGGUUUCGUGGCCCUUCCCCUACGCUGGAAUCUUCUGUGUCAUUUAGGGGGAGGGGAUGCGGGACGGCAUCUGUUUGACAACGCAUUGGUCCCACAGACAGCCUUUAAAAACAACUGCUUUUGGGGGGUGUCAGAACAUUUAAGCACAGGACGUCGGUGAGGCUUCCUGGCGGAGUGGGGCACACGCCAGCUUUACGGGACUUUUUGCUCAGUCCUGCCCCAGGACUGCAAUCGGAGGGGACCUGGGGCAUGGAGGAGACGCGAGUGAAAACCUAGUCAGCGG
rnacentral:lncRNA from 1 species